CAACCCUCAAGCCCUGCUUGGUGUUGGGGCCCUACGGCUGCCGUAGGCCCUGAAAGGAAGUGGCGGGCUCGCUACAACUCCGAGCGUAGUAAUUCAUUAUCUCGCUUAGGGUGUUGUGUGGUGCUCCAGCCGUUAAAGACCAUCUUUAACUCAA
rnacentral:misc_RNA from 1 species